GUAAAGGUGUCUUUAGACACCACCUUAGUUUUUUCAAAAUUUUUC
rfam:Picea glauca, whole genome shotgun sequence.